rnacentral:misc_RNA from 1 species
GAUGAAGAACGCAGCGAAAUGCGAUAAGUAAUGUGAAUUGCAGAAUUCAGUGAAUCAUCGAAUCUUUGAACGCGCAUUGCGCCCGCCAGUAUUCUGGCGGGCAUGCCUGUUCGAGCGUCAUUUCAACCAUCAAGCCCCCGGCUUGUGUUGGGGACCUGCGGCUGCCGCAGGCCCUGAAAACCAGUGGCGGGCUCGCUAGUCACUCCGAGCGUAGUAAUACAUCUCGCUCAGGGCGUGCUGCGGGUUCCGGCCGUUAAAAAGCCUUAUUUACCCAAGGUUGACCUCGGAUCAGGUAGGAAGACCCGCUGAACUUAAGCAUAUCAAUAAGCGGAGGA